AAUGAACGCUGGCGGCAUGCCUAACACAUGCAAAUCGAACGCAGUCUUCGGACUGAGUGGCGCACGGGUGAGUAACACGUAACUGACCUACCCCCAAGUCGCGGAUAACUGGCCGAAAGGUCAGCUAAUACGUGAUGUGAUUUCCCCUUUCUGGGGGGCCAUUAAAGGUUUACUGCUUGGGGAUGGGGUUGCGUUCCAUCAGCUAGUUGGCGGGGUAAAGGCCCACCAAGGCAACGACGGAUAGCCGGCCUGAGAGGGUGGCCGGCCACAGGGGCACUGAGACACGGGUCCCACUCCUACGGGAGGCAGCAGUUAGGAAUCUUCCACAAUGGGCGAAAGCCUGAUGGAGCGACGCCGCGUGAGGGAUGAAGGUUCUCGGAUCGUAAACCUCUGAAUCAGGGACGAAAGACGCGUAAGCGGGAUGACGGUACCUGAGUAAUAGCACCGGCUAACUCCGUGCCAGCCGCCGCCGUAA
rnacentral:rRNA from 1 species